CGAGGCUGCCAAAUACAAACCUCCUGGUUUAGUUUGUAGAUGCCCAGAAGGAGCCUAGAAAGCAACUUCCAUGUGUAUUGGAUGGAUAAGGGUUGAACUGCUGAACUGGAUGGCAACAGCCUGGCCUGGAAGCAAAAGAGGAGGGAAUGAAGGUGGUCCAGAUUACCAGACUAAUUUGAAGCACCCUACGGAAGACACAGGACAUUCAAACACCCAAAUCUGUGUCAGCAUCCUGCUGGCAGUAAGAGCUUUUGCACAAACAUCUGAUUGCA